AUUGAACGCUGGCGGCAUGCCUUACACAUGCAAGUCGAACGGUAACAGGUCUUCGGAUGCUGACGAGUGGCGAACGGGUGAGUAAUACAUCGGAACGUGCCUAGUAGUGGGGGAUAACUACUCGAAAGAGUGGCUAAUACCGCAUGAGAUCUACGGAUGAAAGCAGGGGAUCGCAAGACCUUGUGCUACUAGAGCGGCCGAUGGCAGAUUAGGUAGUUGGUGGGAUAAAAGUUUACCAAGCCGACGAUCUGUAGCUGGUCCGAGAGGAGGAUCAGCCAAACUGGGACUGAGAAACGGCCCAGACUCCUACGGGAGGCAGCAGUGGGGAAUUUUGGACAAUGGGCGCAAGCCUGAUCCAGCAAUGCCGCGUGCAGGAUGAAGGCCUUCGGGUUGUAAACUGCUUUUGUACGGAACGAAAAGCCCCGGGUUAAUACCCUGGGGUCAUGACGGUACCGUAAGAAUAAGCACCGGCUAACUACGUGCCAGCAGCCGCCGUAA
rnacentral:rRNA from 1 species